UGCUGCGAUGGUUGUCGUCAGCUCGUGCCGUGAGGUGUCGGGUUAAGUCCAUAACGAGCGCAACCCUUAUCGUUAGUUGCCAGCUGGUAAAGCAGGGGACUCUAGCGAAACUGCCACCGUAAGGUGAGAGGAAGGUGGGGAUGACGUCAAAUCAGCACGGCCCUUAUGUCCAGGGCUACACACGUGUUACAAUGGCCGGCACAGAGGGCAGCUACCUGGUGACAGGAUGCUAAUCUCGAAAACCGGUCUCAGUUCGGAUCGAAGUCUGCAACUCGACUUCGUGAAGCUGGAUUCGCUAGUAAUCGCGCAUCAGCCAUGGCGCGGUCGAAUACGUUCCCGGGCCUU
rnacentral:rRNA from 1 species